CGAACGCUUUGUUUUUAAUUGAUAUGAAGAGCUUGCUCUGAUUUGAUUUUAUCUGACAAAGAGUGGCGAACGGGUGAGUAACACGUGGGUAACCUACCUCUUAGCAGGGGAUAACAUUUGGAAACAAGUGCUAAUACCGUAUAACACUAACAACCGCAUGGUUGUUAGUUGAAAGAUGGUUCUGCUAUCACUAAGAGAUGGACCCGCGGUGCAUUAGCUAGUUGGUAAGGUAAUGGCUUACCAAGGCGAUGAUGCGUAGCCGAGUUGAGAGACUGAUCGGCCACAAUGGGACUGAGACACGGCCCAUACUCCUACGGGAGGCAGCAGUAGGGAAUCUUCCACAAUGGGCGCAAGCCUGAUGGAGCAACGCCGCGUGUGUGAUGAAGGGUCUCGGCUCGUAAAACACUGUUAUAAGAGAAGAACGACAUUGAGAGUAACUGUUCAGUGUGUGACGGUAUCUUAUCAGAAAGGAACGGCUAAAUACGUGCCAGCAGCCGCGGUAAUACGUAUGUUCCAAGCGUUAUCCGGAUUUAUUGGGCGUAAAGCGAGCGCAGACGGUUAUUUAAGUCUGAAGUGAAAGCCCUCAGCUCAACUGAGGAAGGGCUUUGGAAACUGGAUAACUUGAGUGCAGUAGAGGAAAGUGGAACUCCAUGUGUAGCGGUGAAAUGCGUAGAUAUAUGGAAGAACACCGGUGGCGAAAGCGGCUUUCUGGACUGUAACUGACGUUGAGGCUCGAAAGUGUGGGUAGCAAACAGGAUUAGAUACCCUGGUAGU
rnacentral:rRNA from 1 species